AAAGAACAAGAGUGCUACUCAUCUAAAAACUCUCUCUAUUUUCCUCAUAUGAUGAAUGAUCAAAGACACUUUUUGAAAGCCUGGAGAACGUGCCAUGGCGUCUUUUAGCAGAGCCUCCUGAAGGUGGCUUCAUCGCCAAAAAGCCAGUGGAUUAGCGACACCCAUCAACAAUGAAGAAUUUCAAGAAGAAGACAUUUGUGGUUGUAAUAAUAAUAAUAAUAAUAUUGUUAACGAGAAAAAUCAACUCCGUUCCAAGUUCAUUAUCAGGUACUAAAGAUCCAAGAGGCUAAUUCUCACAGCAGUCAAGAUGAUCCCAAAGUCAAAAAACAAGAAUUCAGUACAAGAUUCCAAGACAAUUCAUCACUCUGCCCUAGUAAAAAUACCUGAUUGGUCAAAGAUUUAUGGGACAAGUUUAAAGAAAGAAAUUGGUAAUUUUGUGACAAAUAAUGUUAAUUUGGAUGUGAUGAUGAAGAAGAAGUUGAAGAGAAUGUGAUGCCUCCACAUGAAUGGCUUGCUAAGAGGCUUAGGAGAAGGCAACUUUUUCUUUUUCAGCGUGUGAACGUGUUGGAAGAACUUUAAAAGGGAGAGAUCUGCGCACGGUGAGGAAUGAUUCAUAUGGGACCAAUUCAACCUUUUUUCAAACACCCUCCAAUAAUCAUUGAUGAUAACUGGAAUGUUAUUCAAGAAAUUCAGUUAAUGUUAAAACAACAUUCCUCACCCUGCGCAUAUCUCUCCCUUUUAAAGUUCUUCCAACACGUUCACACGCUGAAAAAGAAGAAUUUGCCUUCUCCUAAGCCUUUUAGCAAGCCAUUCAUGUGGAGGCAUCACAUUCUCUUCAACUUCUUCUUCAUCAUCACAUCCAAAUUAACAUUAUUUGUCACAAAAUCACCAAUUUCUUUCUUUAAACUUGUCCCAUAAAUCUUUGACCAAUCAGGUAUUUUUACUGGGGCAAAGUGAUGAACGGUCUUGGAAUCUUGUACUGAAUUCUUGUUUUUUGACUUUGGGAUCAUCUUGACUGCCGUGGGAAUUAGCCUUCUUGGAUCUUUAGUACCUGAUAAUGAACUUGGAACGGAGUUGAUUUUUCUCGUUAACAAUAUUAUUAUUAUUAUUAUUACAACCACAAAUGUCUUCUUCUUGAAAUUCUUCAUUGUUGAUGGGUGUCGCUAAUUCACUGGCUUUUUGGCGAUGAAGCCACCUUCCGAAAAACACAAAUUUCAAUCAAGUCAACGAAGUAAAAAUGGAUUUUUU